rnacentral:rRNA from 1 species
ACUCCUACGGGAGGCAGCAGUAGGGAAUCUUCCACAAUGGGCGCAAGCCUGAUGGAGCAACACCGCGUGAGUGAAGAAGGGUUUCGGCUCGUAAAGCUCUGUUGUUAAAGAAGAACACGUAUGAGAGUAACUGUUCAUACGUUGACGGUAUUUAACCAGAAAGUCACGGCUAACUACGUGCCAGCAGCCGCGGUAAUACGUAGGUGGCAAGCGUUAUCCGGAUUUAUUGGGCGUAAAGAGAGUGCAGGCGGUUUUCUAAGUCUGAUGUGAAAGCCUUCGGCUUAACCGGAGAAGUGCGUCGGAAACUGGAUAACUUGAGUGCAGAAGAGGGUAGUGGAACUCCAUGUGUAGCGGUGGAAUGCGUAGAUAUAUGGAAGAACACCAGUGGCGAAGGCGGCUACCUGGUCUGCAACUGACGCUGAGACUCGAAAGCAUGGGUAGCGAACAGGAUUAGAUACCCCUGGUAGGAUAGCG